GCCUCAGCCAUGGACGCGUCCCUGGAGAAGCUUGGGAGUCUGCUUGUCCAAUCCAGUGCAUACCCGGUUUUUCAUGCAUGUGGCAUUCAGGAGCAAUGCUCGUGUUUUAAGACGGCUACAUUUUAAUUUUGAGCUGAGGGAGUCUCGGUCUCUUGCCCAGGCUGGAGUGCAGUGAGGCGAUCUCGGAUCACUGCAACCUCCGCCUCCCGGAUUCAAGUGAUUCUCCUGCCUCAGCCUCCCGAGCAGCUGUGACUAUAGGCGUGUGACACCACACCCGACUAAUUUUUGUAUUCCCAGUAGAGAUGGGGUUUCACCAUGUUGGUCAGGAUGGUCUCAAACGCCUGACCUUGUGAUCCUUCAGCCUCAGCCUCCCACAGUGCUGGGAUUACAGGCGUAAGCCACUGCAUCUGGCCGGGACUUAGAUUUAUAUUCCCUGAAGUAAUACAGGGCCUUAGAUGGAAUGAACGAUUUAUAUUGGUGCUAAUUGGGCAGAAAAGAAAAAGCAUUGCUGUAAUAUGAAUGUUGAUGACUUUAUGUUCUGAAAAAUAGUCUGGGUCAAAGUGAAACAUUUAAUUGUGUUCAUUAUUCCUGUUUCUUUGAGGAAUAGACUAUCCUGCGUUAAAUUCUACAUUGUUAAUAUAAACUCAAGAGCUAUGUGAGCAGUUGUGAAUGAUCCCAUUUAAACUGAUUCUUGCGUAAUUUAUACUGAUUACAGAAACCACAAUGUUAUUUGAUGCUCACCCUCUAAAAUUUAAAAUAAUAUCUCUCAC
rnacentral:lncRNA from 1 species